ACCGCUCUAGCUGCCUUCUAACCUUUCGCAGUAAUCUCUGAAACGUGGCUACGGCCACUUCAAUGAUUAUACUUAUUUUUGGCCUUGGAUGGGCGGCCGCUGGGCUUGCCUAUGCCGCCUGUCACCGUGUCGCUGGUAUUGCACUACCUCCAGCUGACGCGACUCAUU
rfam:Mycosphaerella eumusae strain CBS 114824 scaffold242, whole genome shotgun sequence.